rnacentral:siRNA from 1 species
GAUUGAUUGUUACUUUGUGCGA